rnacentral:lncRNA from 1 species
GUAUAUAUGACAAUUGAAUUCUUAUGGAAUUCUUAAUAAAAUUGAGAUUCGUAAGUUCUUCUGGAACUAAGAUCAUAAUAAACAGUGAGACUUCUUAAUAGUGAAUUCUUCCGGAAUUCAUGAUGGAAAAAAUUGAGUUUUCUAUGUUUUUCAGGAACUAGAUAAUAUAUUUUAACAAUAAAAUUAAUUCUCUAAUCAAUCCUUCAAGGAUUAACCAUUUUGAAUUCUUCUGGAAUUCACAUAGCAUAAUGUUGAGUUCUUCCGCAACUACCCUUUUGAAUUCUUCAGGAAUUCAUAGAGAAUAAUGAGUUGCUUUUGAAUUCUUCAGUUCUUCAGGAAUUGUAUAAUAAUAAUAAUAAUAAUAUCUUGUGCAAUCCUUCAGGGAUGCAUGAAU